ensembl:lncRNA
AUUUAUUGUACAAAUUCCCUGAAAAGAUGCACGUUCCAGGAUGAAUUGGGCUGAGAUGGCAGAGGACAGCUGAUUUGGAACGGAACAACAGCUGUUCGCUUUCACGGGGGAAAACUAAGGAACUUCAACCUACUUAGGCCUACUAAUUAACGUUCAAAAGCUAUAAUUUUUUUUUUAAAAAUAUGCAGAUACUGUCAAAAUCUGUAUUCGAAGCCUGCAAAAUGGCAUUCGGGCCAGCCCUAAUCAGGGACGCGGGAAGUCAGUCCGAGGUGGGGGGUGCUGAGAGAGAGCCUAUAUAAUGACGUCAUAAUAAAUGGUGAGCAACAUCCAAUGUUUACUGAGACGAGAUGACGGGUGACGUCACAUUCAGGGCUCCGCUCUGAUAAACACUCUACUGGUGUGUAAAAAGAGUUCUGCCAACUAGCCACUGUUAUUCACAAACAUUAGCAAGUAAACAAUGUGGAAAUUAGAGUCAACUCGGCUGAUACUGUGCUGAAUUUCACACACUAACAACAUGCCGACAAGCUGUUGCGGUCCGGGAUUAUACACAGCGUUAUAACAAGGAUUCAGGAGUUUAUUUCUAAAGGUUUACAAAGGAAAGUGAACCGUCCGUCUCUGCUCUUUUUUUGCCAACCAGUUUACGUGCGGGAUUCCAGAAUCAAAACGAUAACAUUCAACGUGUCUAUUAAUAUGGCAGGAACAUUUUACAACAGUUUUAGAAUGUUCACUACAACAGAUGUUGAACACCAACAUGCUUACGUAAAAUCAGCAUAGUACCAUAUUCAGCUAUGGACAGUUCUGCGUUGUGCGUCAUAGCCUACGUCAGCCUACACAGACAAUGUUCUAAAUAAAAUGAAAUGAUAAUAUGAUAAAUAUCAUAAAAAGGGUGGAUGUCAAUAAUUUUAUGAAAAUUCAUGUUGUAUGAUCAAAAUAUACAAAAAAAAACAUUCUCACUUGCAGUUACAGCCAGGUGCCGCCAGGGGGGGGGGUGCUGCAGCACCCUAAGCACCCCCAUUUCCCGCGUCCCUGGGUAACAAUGUUGUUUUUUAUUGGUCGUCAUGAAAAAAUCAUAAGGGGUUACACUGUUGUUUUUUAUUGGUCGUCAUGAAAAAAACAAAAGGGGUAACACUGUCGAUAUUUAUCAAAUAAAACAUAGGGGUUAACAACUGUUGUUUUUCUUUGGUCGUCAUGGAAAAAACCACAAGGGGUAACACUGUCGUUUUAAUCAAAUGAAACAUGAGGGGUAACACUGUCCUUUUUAUUCGGUCAUCAUGAAAACAACAUAAGGGGUAACGCUGUCGAUAUUAAUCAAUUAAAACAGGGGGUAACACUGUCGUUUUUAUCAAAUGAAACAUGAGGGGUGACACUGUCAUUUUUCUUUGGUCGUCAUGAAAAAACCCAUAAGGGGUAACACUGUUGUUUUUUAUUGGUCGUCAUGAAAAAAUAUAUAAGGGGGAACACUGUUGUUUUUUAUUGGUCGUCAUGAAAAAAACAUAAGGGGUAACACUGUUGUUUUUUAUUGGUCGUCAUGAAAAAAGCAUAAGGGGUAACACUGUUGUUUUUUAUUGGUCAUCAUGAAAAAAAA